AAAGUGACAAAAUAGCAAUAUUUUCAAGAAACAACUUUUUAAAUUCUAAUUUAAUAGAAGUCAAGUUAUGGUCUGAGAGAUAACUUAAAAAUGGAAAGUUAUUUAGAAACAAGAUAAAAGGCAAAACACCAAACUUCAUACAAACUUAAAUGUUUGACAUUUAAAAAUUAAAGAGAUUUUUUUUUUAAGUGUAUUUGAGACAAAUAAGCCAACCUUGGUACAUAACCGCUGAAAACUAAAAAACCGUACCCUAAACCAACACAGGUGGAUAGGUCGAGUAGACUAAGGUGUAUGAGAUAAUUAUGUUGAAGGAACUCGGCAAAAUGACUCUGUAACUUCGGGAGAAAGAGUACCUUUUUAUUUAAAUGUUUAUCGACGAAAUAAUAAGAAG
rnacentral:rRNA from 1 species